rnacentral:rRNA from 1 species
AUGGACAACGGGUUAAUAUUCCCGUACCAUUUUUUGUUGACAACGAGGGACGGAGAAGGCUAAGCUAGCCGGAUAUUGGUUACCGGUUUAAGCGUUCAAGAUGUUGAGAAGCGGCGAAAACGCUUUGAGUUGAGACGUGAAUACGAGACGCUAAGGCGUUGAAGUAGUGUAUGUCAUACUUCCAAGAAAAGCUUGCACUGUCAUAAACAAAAAAUGCCUGUACCAUAACCGACACAGGUGGGUAGGUAGAGUAUACUAAGGGGCGCGAGAUAACUCUCUCUAAGGAACUCGGCAAAAUAACUCCGUAACUUCGGGAGAAGGAGUGCCUUAUUUUAUAAGGUUGCAAUAACAAGAUCCAAGCAACUGUUUAUCAAAAACACAGGUCUCCGCUAAGUCGUAAGACGAUGUAUGGGGGCUGACGCCUGCCCAGUGCCAGAAGGUUAAAGAAGUCGGUUAGCAAUUGCGAAGCUGGUAACUGAAGCCCUGGUGAACGGCGGCCGUAACUAUAACGGUCCUAAGGUAGCGAAAUUCCUUGUCGGGUAAGUUCCGACCCGCACGAAAGGCGUAAUGAUUUGGAUACUGUCUCGGAGAGGGACUCGGUGAAAUAGACUUGUCUGUGAAGAUGCGGACUACCUGCACCAGGACAGAAAGACCCUAUGAAGCUUUACUGUAACUUGAAAUUGAAAUUGGACUUUAUUCGCGCAGUAUAGGUGGGAGGCGUUGAUUAUAGUCUUGCGGGACUAUCGGAGCCAUUAGUGAGAUACCACUCUUGUAAUGUUAGAUUUCUAACUUUGAAUCAUGACCUGGUCAAAGAACAGUUUCAGGCGGGCAGUUUGACUGGGGCGGUCGCCUCCUAAAUGGUAACGGAGGCGUACAAAGGUUUCCUCUGAACGGGUAGAAAUCGUAUCUAGAGUGUAAAGGCAUAAGGAAGCUUGACUGUGAGACCUACAAGUCGAGCAGGGACGAAAGUCGGUCUUAGUGAUCUGACGGUACUGAGUGGAAAGGCCGUCACUCAACGGAUAAAAGUUACUCUAGGGAUAACAGGCUGAUCUCCCCCAAGAGUUCACAUCGACGGGGAGGUUUGGCACCUCGAUGUCGGCUCAUCGCAUCCUGGGGCGGUAGUACGUCCCAAGGGUUGGGCUGUUCGCCCAUGAAAGCGGUACGCGAGCUGGGUUCAGAACGUCGUGAGACAGUUCGGUCCAUAUCCGGUGUAGGCGUUAGAAUAUUGAGAGGAGCCUUCUUUAGUACGAGAGGACCGAGAAGGACAUACCUCUGGUGUACCAGUUAUCGUGCCAACGGUAAACGCUGGGUAGCUAUGUAUGGAGUGGAUAACCGCUGAAAGCAUCUAAGUGGGAAGCCCACCUCAAGAUAAGUAUUCUCAUCACGUAAGUGAGUAAGAUCACGGUAAGACUAACCGUUUGAUAGGCAUUAAGUGUAAGUACAGUAAUGUAUGUGCUAA